UACGGGGGAGCAAGCGUUGUUCGGAUUUACUGGGCGUAAAGGGCGCGUAGGCGGCCACCGCAAGUCGACUGUGAAAUCUCCGGGACUUAACCCGGAAAGGUCAGCCGAUACUGCGGGGCUAGAGUGCAGAAGGGGCAACUGGAAUUCUCGGUGUAGCGGUGAAAUGCGUAGAUAUCGAGAGGAACACCUGCGGCGAAGGCGGGUUGCUGGGCUGACACUGACGCUGAGGCGCGAAAGCUAGGGGAGCGAACGGG
rnacentral:rRNA from 1 species